GGUUAAUGAACCAGCUUUGAGCCCAACUGGGCGAAGGGAGAAGGGUCUCUGUGCUCAUAAUAAGGACAAGAAUGUCUCUUUGCCCAUCACAGCUUGUGUGUGAACAGUUUUUCCCUCCAGGUUCCUCUCACAGAGCAAGUUCACGUCUUGUAAGGGGUCUAAGGUUUGAAGCAUCCACCAGGUUUUCAACAUAUACUCUAGAGAGGCGUUACCUAAGCUAAAAAAAAAAAAUCUUUUUAAUAACUUUGUUUUUAAUCUCUUCCUUCCAUUCACAAAGAAAAGGCUCACAGUAUUAGCAGGUUAAUGACAGCUGCUUUGCUGGUUCAGAAGAACAGGCCAGGGACCCCAUUUAAAGUUCAAUCACCUGCUUCAUAAUCGGGGCCUCUCUCUACUGUCACCUCCCUCACCUUCUUCUCUUCAGGAAACUCCUUGAAGGGGAUGAGGCUCUGCAAAGACUGGAGACUAGAAUGAGAUUCUUUGCAGAAAAAGGAGUCCCUCCUCCUGAGCCUCUGCCAGACGCCUGCAGCUGCUUCAGGCUGAGCUGUGGUCAGAGCCCUCAGACACGCGGCAGGCCUUAAGGAGGUUCUGCCCAUUAGCACCAAACCAUUGCUGGUUGUCGUAAAAAGAAAAAAAAUAAUAAUAAGGUUAAGAUCUCCGACAGCAAUAAGGGCCCACAUUUAAAUCUGUAGUAACAGUUUAAAAGAACAUACUGGGCAUUACUAGUAUUUACUUAGCAGUAUUAGAUGAAAGAACAUAGUUUAAUAAAUAUUUCUCUGUUAGUGCCAAAUGUUUCAAAAUCAGUAAAAUUUCAACAAAAAGUUGAAGGAAAAGAAGGAUUGAUUAAAACACUGACUGAAGUUGCAUUUUUCUUUAAAGCAGCAACUCGUGAACAAUGUCUGUUUUAAAAUGUCAAUGCCUUUUAGGCACAGUGUUCGCUUUGGUUUUUACGUUCAUCCCUUGCCAAUAAGAAACCUCUGUUAUCUUCCAAAGUAAUCAAAAUGCUCAGACAUACACUGCAAGGGCAGGUAAGGGUCAAACUAAUGAUCAUUUCCGACAGAUAAUAUUUAAUUACUCACCUCUAAGCAAUGAAGUUAAUAAAUUAAUUUUAUAAACAUCUGCAGGCAAAACACUCAUUGUAGACAUUUAUAUUACGACACACAACCUUCACGUAAAUACUCACAAAAUUUAUCCGCCCACAUUUUUUUUUUUUCCUGAAGGUACACAAUUAAACUGCAUUUACUAAGUGUUAGCUGGCA
rnacentral:lncRNA from 1 species